rnacentral:rRNA from 1 species
AACGAACGCUGGCGGCAGGCCUAACACAUGCAAGUCGAGCGAGGACUUCGGUCCUAGCGGCGGACGGGUGAGUAACGCGUGGGAACGUGCCCUUUGCUUCGGAAUAGCCCUGGGAAACUGGGAGUAAUACCGGAUGAGCCCUUUGGGGGAAAGAUUUAUCGGCGAAGGAUCGGCCCGCGUUGGAUUAGGUAGUUGGUGGGGUAAUGGCCUACCAAGCCGACGAUCCAUAGCUGGUUUGAGAGGAUGAUCAGCCACACUGGGACUGAGACACGGCCCAGACUCCUACGGGAGGCAGCAGUGGGGAAUCUUAGACAAUGGGGGAAACCCUGAUCUAGCCAUGCCGCGUGAGCGAUGAAGGCCUUAGGGUUGUAAAGCUCUUUCAGCUGGGAUGAUAAUGACGGUACCAGCAGAAGAAGCCCCGGCUAACUCCGUG